rnacentral:rRNA from 1 species
CAAUAGCGUAUAUUAAAGUUGUUGCAGUUAAAAAGCUCGUAGUUGGAUUUCUGGUUGAAGCGACCGGUCGGGCGUUGAUUCGUCUGCACUGGAGUCGGUUUUGGCCAUCCUCUAGGAAAGUGCGUCUGGUAUUAAGUUAUCGGGCGUAUGAUCCUGGUCUUUUACUGUGAAAAAAUUAGAGUGUUUAAAGCAGGCCUUCGCCUUGAAUACAUUAGCAUGGAAUAAUAAGAUAGGACUUUGGUCUAUUUUGUUGGUUUCUAGGACAGAAGUAAUGAUUAAUAGGGACAGUUGGGGGCAUUAGUAUUUAAUUGUCAGAGGUGAAAUUCUUGGAUUUAUGAAAGACUAACUACUGCGAAAGCAUUUGCCAAGGAUGUUUUCAUUAA